rnacentral:rRNA from 1 species
GCACAAGCAGCGGAGCGUGUGGUUUAAUUCGUUGCUACACGAAGAACCUUACCUGGGUUUGACAUAUAGGUUGUAGGGAACUGAAAAGGGACCGACCCUUCGGGGAGCCUAUACAGGUGUUGCAUGGUUGUCGUCAGCUCGUGUCGUGAGAUGUUGGGUUAAGUCCCGCAACGAGCGCAACCCCUACGUUUAGUUGCUAACGCGUGAAGGCGAGCACUCUAGACGAACUGCCGUUGACAAAACGGAGGAAGGUGGGGAUGACGUCAAAUCAUCAUGCCCCUUAUGUUCUGGGCUACACACGUGCCACAAUGGCCGGUACAGACGGACGCAAAGCCGCGAGGUGGAGCAAAUCCUAAAAAGCCGGUCUCAGUUCGGAUUGCAGGCUGCAAUUCGCCUGCAUGAAGUCGGAAUCGCUAGUAACCGCAGGUCAGCAUACUGCGGUGAAUACGUUCCCGGGCCUU